rnacentral:tRNA from 2 species
GGGGUGUUAGCUCAGUUGGUAGAGCAGUGGACUCUUAAUCCAUAGGUCUAGGGUUCGAGUCCCUAACGCCCCACCA